AAGGAUCAUUACCGAGUUAGGGUGCCUAACCCGCGCCCGACCUCCAACCCUUUGUCUACCUGACCUUAUGUUGCUUCGGCAGGCCCGCCUGCCCGGACCUCGCGUCUGGGCGGGCCGCCGGGGGUCUCGCGACCCCGGGCCUGUGCCUGUCGAUGGCCCACACCAAAACUAUUGUUAAAACGUGUCGUCUGAGUUAUCUAAACAAAUGAAAUUAAAACUUUCAACAACGGAUCUCUUGGUUCUG
rnacentral:misc_RNA from 1 species